UACGUAGGGCGCAAGCGUUGUCCGGAAUUAUUGGGCGUAAAGAGCUCGUAGGCGGUCUGUUGCGUCCGCUGUGAAAACUCGGGGCUUAACCCCGAGCCUGCAGUGGAUACGGGCAGACUAGAGGUAGGUAGGGGAGAAUGGAAUUCCCGGUGUAGCGGUGAAAUGCGCAGAUAUCGGGAGGAACACCGGUGGCGAAGGCGGCAUCCUGGACCGGCAUUGACGCUGAGGCGCGAAAGCCAGGGGAGCAAAGCGGG
rnacentral:rRNA from 1 species